GCUACGGGUGGCAGCAGUGAGGAAUAUUGGUCAAUGGCCGGAAGGCUGAACCAGCCAAGCCGCGUGAAGGACGAAGGUGCCAAGCAUUGUAAACUUCUUUUGUCAAGGGACAAAAUCAGGCUCGAGAGCCUGACCGAGGGUACCUGAAGAAAAAGCAUCGGCUAACUCCGUGCCAGCAGCCGCGGUAAUACGGAGGAUGCGAGCGUUAUCCGGAUUUAUUGGGUUGAAAGGGUGCGAAGGCGGGCUGGUAAGUCAGCGGUAAAAGCGCGGGGCUCAACCGCGGGCAGCCGUUGAAACUGGCUGUCUUGAGAUGUCGAGAGGUAUGCGGAAUGCGCAGUGGAGCGGUGAAAUGCAGAGAUAUUGCGCAGAACUCCGAUUGCGAAGGCAGCAUACCGGCGGCGAUCUGACGCUGAGGCACGAAAGCGUGGGUAUCGAACAGGAUUAGAUACCCCUGUAGUC
rnacentral:rRNA from 1 species